rnacentral:tRNA from 1 species
GGAGGUGUGGCUCAAGAGGUAGAGUGCCUGCCUAGCAAGCAUGAGGCCCUGGGUUCAAGUCCCAGGACCCCUC